UACGGAGGAUCCAAGCGUUAUCCGGAUUUAUUGGGUUUAAAGGGUGCGUAGGCGGAUUGAUAAGUUAGAGGUGAAACGUCCGAGCUCAACUCGGGAACUGCCUCUAAUACUGUUGAUCUAGAGAGUAGAUGCGGUAGGCGGAAUGUAUGGUGUAGCGGUGAAAUGCUUAGAGAUCAUACAGAACACCGAUUGCGAAGGCAGCUUACCAAUCUAUAUCUGACGUUGAGGCACGAGAGCGUGGGGAGCAAACAGG
rnacentral:rRNA from 1 species